ACGUAUUUUCUCAGACCCUCCCAUGUUCCUUCUUCUCACACCAGUCUCCUCUCUUCUCACACCACCCUUCUCCACCCCUCCCUCGUCUCUUUCUUGUCUGCACAGGCGGCACCACCACAGUCGGCCACCCACAACCGAACAACAAAACACUCAUGUCUCCUUUCCCCUGUUCUACUACUACCGUCGCGGAUCCGCCUGCUUCCGGCGAAGUCUGACCCCGACUCACCUAAAUCACAAUCCAACCCGACUGACCACCACCCAUGCUAUCAACUCCGGCCACCCCGAAUUCAACAGCCGCCGCGCCGCACAAAACACUCUCCCAGACACACGCCAAUUACAUGCUGUAGCACACACAUCAAGCACCAUCCAAUCGUUAAUUAACAACAGAUUUGUCAAACCCUAACCCUAAAGUCACAGGCGGUGGAGUUCGGGGGAAAUCGGAGAAACGUGAUUUCGAUUAAAUCGGAGGUUCAAUACUUGCUUGAUUGUGUGUUUUGGUUGUGUUUAUGGUUGAAUCGGUGGCUAGAGGUGAGGUUUUGUUGAUGGUGGCUGGGUUGGUCGCGGAAGAAGAUGGGGGCACAGUUUAUGAUUGAAAUAUUGUAUAAAAACCCGUUUUUACCCUUAUUUCCGUUACUCCCGUUAAAUGAUAUUUAACGGGAGCCACUUUUUUAAAACACGGAGACAAAGUGUAGCCACUGUUCUGAGAAUUUGAAAGUUUGGCCAAUUUUUUAAAAAUGGGUGUAAACUUUGGCCACAACUCUGAAGUUUACUCUAUAUAUAUAUCAAGAAGUUCACUGUUCAAAACUCUUUCUCAAAAACAAGACUCUUUGAAUUGAUUCCUUUUCAUAUACCCCGUCUUCUAUCUUUUUUUCCCCUCUCAAUUUAAAUUAUGGAUGAAAAAGCUGGAGACGAAGUUUUAGUAGAUCUAAAUGAUAUCAUUAAACUUCUUCAGACAAAAGAUGUGGAGGAACUCUGUGAAUCAUAUGAGUCGGGACAUAACAAUAAGACCGUGGAAAAAGAUGGUUCUACAGACAAAAAUCAAGGCGCAAAUAAGUGUGAUACGUUAGUAAUCAUUUCAACCAGAGAUUUUUCAACUCGUGAGGAACUUUUGAAUAAUGUUCAUGAGAUUGUAUUUAAGCAAGGAUUUGGGACAAAAAUUAAAAUAUUGAAGAUAAAUUGUUAUGUUAUAAUUGGUUGUGACAUGGGAGAUACGCAUCGCUCAAAUAAACCAUUUAAGGAAAAGAGAAGAAAGGUGCUCAUGUCAUUUUGAAGCAAUAUUUGAAUGUUUCUACAGGUGAUUUUCGUGAUGUCAAAGACAAAAUUUCUCUAGCAAUCCGUUGAUCGAAUCUUCUGAAUAACUUUGUACGUACUGACGUUCUGUGCACUGGUCUGGUUCACGAACGACUAAUAAUGAAGUAAUUCUUUGAAUUCUUUACUUGAUGAAAUACUUGAUCAGUCAUUCCGGGUUUGAUAUUGCUUCGAUAAAUUUGAUUAUAAAUAAUCAGGAUAGGUAUACUGGAAUCUUCUAGUUCUUGAAACUUGAUCGUCAGGCAAUCUUUGAUAGCAGAAACUACUUGGACUUUAUUCUUCACUGAGGCAUGAACAUAUUAAUGAACUUCUUUCAGUUGACGGAUGUUCGUCUCAGAUAUCUUGAUUGUCUUUGUAUGUUCGUAUCAGAUCUCCAACCUGUAGGUUCCUGUAUCAUACUUACGUAUUGUUUCAUGUUUUUUUUUGUUGUGAUGAGUUAUCGCAAUUACAUUACGAGUUA